UACGGGAGGCAGCAGUGGGGAAUAUUGCACAAUGGGCGAAAGCCUGAUGCAGCUAUGCCGCGUGUAUGAAGAAGGCCUUAGGGUUGUAAAGUACUUUCAUCGGGGAGGAAAAACAAAACUAAUAAUUUUAUUUCUUGACGUUACCCGAAAAAGAAGCACCGGCUAACUCCGUGCCAGCAGCCGCGGUAAUACGGAGGGUGCGAGCGUUAAUCGGAAUUACUGGGCGUAAAGGGCACGCAGGCGGUUAAUAAGUUGGAUGUGAAAUCCCCGGGCUUAACCUGGGAAUGGCAUUCAAGACUGGUUAGCUAGAGUCUUGUAGAGGGGGUAGAAUUCCAUGUGUAGCGGUGAAAUGCGUAGAGAUGUGGAGGAAUACCGGUGGCGAAGGCGGCCCCUGGACAAAGACUGACGCUCAUGUGCGAAAGCGUGGGGAGCAAACAGGGAUUAGAUACC
rnacentral:rRNA from 1 species